rnacentral:lncRNA from 1 species
UGGCCGGCCGGCCGGCAGCCCGCCUGACGGAGGCCUGCGCCCUCUUCCUCCAUCCAGUCUGGCGCCUUCCAGACAGCAGGCAACUGCCGCCCGCAGGCCAAGCAGCGCCUUGAUGGUCAGUGGAGAGCUGUUCGUGGGGCACCGUCUGCUGAAUCCAGCCGCUCCCCGGGCUGCGGGAAGCCUCCCGGGAGGCCAUGGCUCUGUCCCCAGAGUGUUCCUCCCUCGUCCUCUGGACGCUCUGGGCCCUUCAGUUUCUGUGAUCAUUCUCCGUCCUCCGACCCCGGGGUGGCUCCAUGGGGUCUGACGACAAGGUGCUAAACCCCCCGAAUGGAGUUCCCAGGCCAGGGGUCACAUGAGAGCUGCAGCUGUGGUCUACACCACAGCCAAAGCAACACCGGAUCCAAGCUACAUCUUCAACUACCCCAUGGCUCUCGGCAAUGCGGAUCCUUAAUCCACUGCGCGAGGCCAAGGAUCAAACUCGCAUCCUCACAGAGACAGCAUCAGGUUCUUAACCCACUGAGCUACAGUGGGAACUCCAGGAGAUAAUCUUUACACACAAGUAACAAGUGAUUUCUACCCAGUAAGACAUAAAACUUCCCCAUGAGUCAGAAGAAGAGACGUAGGAUGCAGUAAAAAUCUCAGCAAAAGACACGAGUAGGUAUUUGGCAGAAUAGGAAACAGAAGCAGCCCAUAAUCACAACCUGGUGAACAAGCAGGGACCAGGAAGGCAGCACAGCACAGCACCUCACACCUGCCAGAGCGACAGAAGUUUGAAGUUUGUGCACCGCUGUGAGGCUAGAGCUGGAACGAGCAACUCGGAUGGCUGCUGGGCGAGGUCACUGAGGGUGGACAUGGCGCGCGCACCGUGAUUUGGCGCCACUGCCGCUGGAUGGAACCCUACCUCAGCUCUCAGCCUGUGAGCUGUGCCCACGGCCGGGGUGGCUCUUGAAAUCAGGGGGUGACAUAAGCGCGGCUGUGGCUUCAGGUUAUUCAACUGGUGCAGAUUGGUGCAGGUGGCCGCACCUGGCACGUGGCUGCCCCACCAGGGGAUGCCUCGUUUGGUUUGGGCAUGUUGGGUCUGUCCCGAGCGGCAGAAAACCAGAGGCCAUUUGCCAUCAGCUAGAGGGACAGGAGGGUGGUCUUGCCUUGGAACUGCGCAGGUGCCCGGGCUCUCGGCCACAGCCGAGUCCGCAGGGACCUUGACCACUGGUCCGACCUGCGCCCCGGCUCCCAACCCACACGCUGUGCGGAGGAAGGCGCAGAGUUGGAGGAAAGCCUGUGAAAACACACGUCCUUGCUGGGUCCUGGGCACACAGGUGGGUCCCCUGCGUGGCCUUGUCACCUGCGCACAGCACCUCUGCAGGAAGCCGCAUCAGGGCACCGGCUCCGCUUCCGCCUGCAUCCAGGUGGCACGUCGGGUACAGAGCCAGUGGAGGUGCCCCGGUGGCUCCGGCAGCUGGAGAUGUCGGUCCCACGUGGGGGCACCACCGCACUCUGCCAGGACCUCACCUCCCCUUUGCCCACGCAGCGUUUGGCUUCCCCCUGGGCUCAGGGAGAGGCUGACUCUGUCCGUGGGAAAGCAGGGUGCCUGGAACCGCUCAUCCUCUGGGUCAUGAAGCCGGGCAGGCCCAGCGGCUCCCCACUGCCCGUGACGCUGGGCGUCCAGACCCUGUGAGGUUCCUGAACCCACGGCGUUCAGGCAGCCCCUCCCCCAGUCACCCCUGUGCCACCCAGUGGCCCGCAUGUAAAGCAGACAGAGGGUGGCAAGGGGAGCUGCCCGGGGGCCUAGCCGUCGGGCCGACCUGGACAACCCCGCAGCCGGAUGACGGUUUCUCACAGCAGCAUCCAGUUCAGCACCCAGAUGCGGUGUCUUACCUCCUGGGAGCCGGCCUGCCACCUGCUCACAGGUUCACUGACUUUGAACCCUGUAUUGGUCAGGAUUCUCCAGAGAAACAGAACCAGGGGGCUGGUGUUCCCUGGGGGCUCAGCGGGUUAGGGAUUUGGUGUCGUCACGGCCGUGGCGUGAGUUCGAUCCCUGGAAUUUCAUAUGCCGCGGGUGCAGCCAAAAUAAUACUA